CAGCAGCCACGGGAAUACAGAGGGUGCAAGCGUUAAUCGGAAUUACUGGGCGUAAAGCGUGCGCAGGCGGUUGUGUAAGACAGGUGUGAAAUCCCCGGGCUUAACCUGGGAAUUGCAUUUGUGACUGCACGACUAGAGUGUGUCAGAGGGGGGUGGAAUUCCACGUGUAGCAGUGAAAUGCGUAGAUAUGUGGAGGAACACCAAUGGCGAAGGCAGCCCCCUGGGAUAACACUGACGCUCAUGCACGAAAGCGUGGGGAGCAAACAGGAUUAGAUACCCCCGUAGUCCCUGUCUCUUAUAC
rnacentral:rRNA from 1 species